rnacentral:SRP_RNA from 1 species
GAUUGGGUUCUACGCAACGGAAACCUGUGAACCCUGUCAGGUCCGGAAGGAAGCAGCAGUAAGCAGUCAUUUCCGUGUGCCGUAGAGUCGCCUGAUCCGAGCU